CUCUUUCAAAGUAGGGUACUUUUUAGUCAUCCUCCUUAAGGAAACUUUGGUUUUAAUCCUCCAAAACUAACAACGUUAAAAAAAAGCUGAUAUGGCUAACAAUAGACUGACACAUUUUUUUUUCUUACGCUGAGUCAGUGUUUCUCACCUUUUCUCCCUUUCUCUCACCUGCAACACACUGUUCUUGUAGCUGGAUUUCCACCACCGCCAUCACCGACGAGGAUUUCCAUCAACAUUGUUGCUCACAACCGAAAUCGCCACAACGCCACCGCUCCCCCAC
rnacentral:lncRNA from 1 species